CUUAUCGCCACGGUGAAUCCUGUCCAGAAAGAAGAAUUUGGACAGUGUUUAACCCCCCCGGAUGUGGGCAUCAAUGAGGACAAACAUGAUAAUGCACACAUGCCAUGUCUGCAUGUUAAACUCAGGUUUUGGGAAUAAACAACAAAGGAUUAUCUGGUUACCAUACCAAUUAACCAGUCUACCAUGAUUGUCUGUGAGUGAAGGCAAUGCUGCUCCAAUGACGCGCUCAGCCGCCCUAACCACCCGCUGCAGGUCCUUGCUGUUCUUUUCUGUGCAGCUGGAGAACCACACAUUGCAGCAAUAGGUUAGUAAAUGCUCUCUAUCACUGACAGGUGGAGAGGGAGGUGAGCGAGUUUUAGCUUCCUUUGGAAAUAGAGCCUCUGUUGUGCCAUUCCCACCUAGAGGGUGGUACAGAUAGAUAGAUAGAUAGAUAGAUAGAUAGAUAGAUAGAUAGA